rnacentral:lncRNA from 1 species
CGAGAGCGUAGUGAAAGCGUGAUUCUAUUCGGAGAGACUGCGCUACGAUCUCACAGCGAUGUUAUUACAACCUCACUACGACCAUCACGUUCUCACUGCGACCCAACUACUCUUUUACUACGACUAUACCACGUUUACACCACGCUGUUCAAGAUCACAGUACGAUUCUAGCACGCCCAUGCCGUCCUCGUCACGCUCUUCUUACGACCUGACUACGUUCAUACUACG